UUUCCGUAGGUGAACCUGCGGAAGGAUCAUUAUUGGAUUUUGAAGCUCCAGGCUGCUGCUGGCUCUCCUCGGAGGGCAUGUGCACGCUUGUUGUCCAUUAUUUCUCCCACUGUGCACAAAUUGUAGACCUUUCAGUAGGCCUAUGUUGUUUUUCACAAUCUCUGAAUGUAAUAGAAUGGUUUUGAAUCUUGGGAAAUACAAUACAACUUUCAGCAACGGAUCUCUUGGCUCUC
rnacentral:misc_RNA from 1 species